UGUUUUUCUGUGAUGCAAGUUUCCAUGCCAAUUGUAACUACCCAGCAGUGCUGGCUGAAAAAAAAAAAAUGUACUGUAAGCAUUAUCUGACUUCUUCCAGCAAAGAAAUCUGAUGCCCAACAUGAAUAAAAACAAGUUUUUGGACAUCUGAGACUACACAAGAAGAGUAUGGACCAAAAUUUUUUAUGGGGUACAAAAGUUGGAAGAUCUUUCUUCUAUAAUUGCUUCUCUGCUGGACAUGGACAUUGGCAGGGAAGAAAAGCUUGUCUACGAAUCAUGAUUCAUGGAUUUUACAGCCUUGGGCAAACAGUGCUGCCAGCUGAUCCAGGCUUACAGAUUCAGGACAUGAACCUCUUCAGCUAACACUAAGGUUUCUUUACAAUUAGUGGAGGUGAGAGGAAUGAGAAAGAGCUUUUAGGAGGACUCCGGAGACACUUUUAAGUAUCUAUGACCAGAAGACAAUGCUGUGGCAAGGAGCUGCCAAGUUGCAGACGCUACCAUGAUGCCAUCCUGACCUCCCUGGACAGAUGACCUCACCACUGUGUCCUGGAAUGACACCUCUCCAGAGCCCUACCCCACUAAGAAAAAAAUAGAAACAGGCUGGGGGUAUGGAUCGACCUGCCAAUGACCAUGUUCAGUGGAGAAGCAAUUACAGAAGCUAUAUUUUCCACCUUCUGCAUACCACAAAGAAUUUUGGUCCAUACUCUGAAAGAGGGAUAAAGAAUAGAGAAGCUUCCAAUAGAAGGGAUGGGACACCGAAUUCUGAUAUUGGGAACUGUGUGAAUGUAUACCCCUGUUAUCGUACAAUCUUGUUAAUCAUUAUUCAAUCACUAAUAAAAAUUUUUAAAAACUCUAAA